rnacentral:tRNA from 1 species
GGCGUGAUUUCGUAGCUCAGCUGGUAGAGCGCUUGCCGCGUUGAGGCAUGGUGUUUCUGUCGCUGGUUCGAAUCCAGCCGACGCCC